rnacentral:rRNA from 1 species
UACGUAGGUGACAAGCGUUGUCCGGAUUUACUGGGCGUAAAGAGCGCGCAGGCGGUCGAUCAAGUCGAGUGUGAAAGCCCCCGGCUCAACUGGGGAGGGUCAUUCGAUACUGAUCGACUCGAAGGCAGGAGAGGGUAGUGGAAUUCCCGGUGUAGUGGUGAAAUGCGCAGAUAUCGGGAGGAAUACCAGUGGCGAAGGCGGCUUCCUGGCCUGUUCUUGACGCUGAGGCGCGAAAGCUAGGGUAGCAAACGGG